rnacentral:lncRNA from 7 species
ACAAGCUAUUUGGCAUAUGAUCAUGGCAUCAUGAGUGACUGUGGCUACCAGGGAAGACAGAAAUGAAGAAUGUACUUAUUUUCCACGGGGUGCUUAUGAUGACUUUAAUAUCAGCUUUAUUCAGAAUUCAGCCUUGCGGAGGAGAAACACAGAAGCGUAAGAGCAAACUGAAAAAUAUGAGAGAGCCUUGCUUACCCCAAGCAAUACGUGCUUGUAUCUUCAACCAAAACUACAACAAAGGCAAUUUAUUCUGGGUAUACCAUGGCACAAAUAAUUUUUCCGUCACAGCAAGAAGUAAGAGAACCAAAGCAGCAUUUGUUUAUGGGGCAGUGUCUGCUUCAGCUGCACCUUGGCAGGCUGAGAGCUGCAUGGGAUAACCUGCCUGCCUCUGCACCAAGCUGCAGUCAUUCAGAAGGAAGGAUAACUUGUUCCUACAAAUGGGCAAAAUUACUGAGAACAGAGAGGUGUAGCACUCAGAUAACAGAGAUUCUUGGGUUUAUGAACCAUGUGGAGAUGGCCUAAUUUUUUUCCUAUGUACAUUUGUUAAAAGAAAAUGAAUUCCAUCUGUUUCAUUAAAAACUUAUUUUCUUGGCUUUGGAAAUAAAAAUUAGGGAUGCUUGCUUUUAAAUGAUUCUUUAAUUUUGGAUUUGAAACAUUCCUAGUUUCUGAAGAUCUUGCCUUUGUUUCUUCUUAAUUUUCCUCCUUUUUUCUCUCUCUUAUGAUGCUUUUUAAAUGUUGAAAGAAGUUAUUAUUUUCUUCUACUAUUCUUUUAAAUUCAUUUACAUUUUUACUUACCUUUAUUUCUAAUAUUCCAUUUUUAUUUUCAUUAUAACAUAAGUGCGUUUAAGAAAGGGAUUCAGCAGAAGAGGGGAAGAGAGUUUUGUUUCAUUUUUUAAAAAGGGCAUGUUGUUUCCAUAAUAACUUUCAAACAUUUCAUAACAUUUAUCGAGGAGCAAAAAUAAGAUUUCAAAAUGUGAAAUAUGUAGUUUUCUGAUAUUUCAUUAAAAAGUCUUCCAUGUGAAUAAUUAUUUGCCAUUAUUUUCCCAUUUUAAAACAAAUCUGUGCAACAUAUAUAUGUAUGAGGCAGCAGUUACUGUGCAGCUAAACCAGUGCUCAAGUAUUUAUGCUGAAGUGCUAGCUAACUGUUCUGGACUUUUUUACAUUCUGUACAAAGACUUUUCUAAGACUGUUUAGGGACUGCUCAUUUAAAACAUUGGUUCUUCCUCAUUUCUGCUAGGAGAAAUGCUGUAUGUCUUUG